GCCGGAAACCCAAAAUCGAAAUUCCCGGUGGUUGUACUUCUUCGGUGGGUUAAUAGAUUUCCAGUCCGCAUCGGCAAUGUUUUCUAGCGAAGUCAAUGACCGCAGGCCCACUUUCCCGUGCUUGUCCACGGUGAGAUGUCCCUUUUCUUCUGGCUAUGUUUGUUUCAUUACCUGUGAUAACCAGAAGCCGAACCAGAAGUAGAUUGCCAACCAAAGUACGCAUUGUAUUUGGCAGACUCGCCACCCUUAACAUUCGGGACAGAAUAAACUCCUCUGUCGACGGUGGCGACAUAAUCGGAUUGCAAAGCACCGGCGAUGAGAGUGUCGUCCCAAGCGGUCAUGUGGGGGUAGGCUUCACUCGGUGGGCAUGUCGACGUGUCGCAUUUGGAGCAUUGCCUGCACAGAAGCUCGCUCUUCAGCGGUAUAUCUCCAGCACCGUCAGCGGCUGAGCCGCAGAUCACCAUAGCAAGCAGGUAUAAAGAGAACAGAAAGAAGUGUCUGUCCAUGAUGGUUGGAUUGUUUUCUUUGGCUGGUCGUUCUUUUCGAAUAGAGUUUGCCAGAUUAUAUACACUUCUUAUGUUCUUGAACUAAUCGAUUUCGUUCUUUUCCCCCAUCGUGUUUGAUCGAUUGGGACAAAAUAUAGUUGGACUUUGUUCCAUGUGAAUAUUUUUUGAUUGUUGGGCAUUGAUAAUUACGAAUUUUUCAGCUG